rnacentral:rRNA from 1 species
CGGGUGAGUAACAGUAUGCAACCUGCCUGCCACAGCGGAUAAUCGGGAGAAAUUCCGUCUAAUACGGCAUAAUGCAUCGACGGGACAUCCUGUUGGUGCCAAAGGUUUAAUUCCGGUGGCGGAUGGGCAUGCGUCGCAUUAGUUAGUUGGCGGUGUAACGGACCACCAAGACGACGAUGCGUAGGGGUUCUNAGAGGAAGGUCCCCCACAUGGUACUGAGACACGGACCAGACUCCUACGGGAGGCAGCAG